GGCAAGCCAGUGGUGGCUUUGAAUUCAUGUUUUGAGAAGUUUCAGUUUGCAUACCUGGAUUUUCAAGCUCAGAUUUCUCAUUCAAUAGAGAUCUUGAGAGAAAUCCAAGGUUACAGGGGUGAUGUACAUCACCCCAGCUUCAUUUUGGUAUAAGGCUCGUGCGUUUUGGUUGAGGUUUGAAAACCUGCAACUGGUGGCCGGAAUCAGUUAGUCCACCGGAGAAGACGGUGGUUUCCACCACCGUCCCCACGCGGAAUCACC
rnacentral:lncRNA from 1 species